AAGGGAUAUGAAAUACUCUUUUAUUGUUAAUUUGUAUAUUUGCCUUGCUGCAAAUGUCAUCUAAAGCUGUGUAGGAGGAACGUAUCUGGAGGGGUGUUUUUCCAAAUUUGUUUUAUUUGGUGUAGACACACUCUGAAAUAAACCUGAAGCCUGGGAGGGGUAGGAGGGGUGGAGGCUGGGCUUGAACCUUAACCCCAUGAGUGUUCCUCUCGGCCCCGUGGGCUCUGGCUGCACAGCCCACACAGGGCUCCCCAAAUUAUCUCAAAAGACAAAGUGAUGGGGAUCGAUGUGGCUUGUAACUUCUUCCCUAACUCCCUUACUAUUGAUGUUUUCUAACAAGAGAUCCAAACUGUGACAAGGAAAAUGAGUGAAGAAAGACCUUUCGAAAGAGGAGCAAAAUGGGAGCUGAUCCAAGCGUCUGUAAUUAGCUAAUGGCUGUGAAUAUUUAUGAAAUCUCCCAGCAGUGGCAGUGAAGUGCUGAUCCCAGAGAAGUGGACGCUCUCUUCCUUGAUGUCUUUAAUCCUUGCAGUCCCAGCUGCCACGGCUCGAGUUUUGGAAAACCCCACCCUCUUUCUGGCCUCUGAUCAAAAUCAAUAUUUCAGAGGGAAAUGCAGAAGAGCAAAGGAGUUAAACAAAAGUUCAGAUAAGCAUAACAAAUACUGGAAAGAUGAGAUCCUCCAAGCAGAGUGCUCUAGAAAGCUCUCCUGUUAAUCUGGGCAAGGCUUUCAUCAAUUGCUCUGAGCAGGAAGAGCUAUUAUUGGACUCAUAAGGAGAUAUGCACUAAAGAACAGCCAAUGGGAGGAAAAGACAGAACUGAAGGCAUAUGGUUUCAAGUGAGAUUUCAAGUGGCAAGUAGGGAUUCUGCCCCCUCCCAUGAGCAAACCAGGGGAUGUGAAUACGAUGGAGCAUGGAAGGGACAUCGCUGCCAUGGACAGCUCUUUGUGCCAGGGCUGCAGCAGCACAGGGAGAGCUCGGUCAGCCCCUGCCCACAGCCCACGGCUGCUGUGCCCUGUUCAGUCUCUGCCCUGGGGGAGGAAGGCAGAGGGUUGAGAAGAUAAUUUGGUUUUUUGGGUUCCCUUUCCAUUUGUCCCACAAAAUCAGCCAUCUCCAGGCUCGUGGUGAGCGCUGAGUGAAAGAAAAGCAGCAUGAUUUCAGCUGGAGCUGGGGGGUGCUGGUGUGGAGCAUCCUCACAGCCCUCCUGUCUGCCCAUGUGUGCGUGGAGAAGGGUGGUUUUCCUGGCCUGAUCUGUCAGCACCGGUGAUAUUCCCAUAAUAAACACUCAUGCUAGUUACACAAGACAUGUUGACUAGUUUAUUGUACAGUAAUUGCUGCUCUUGCAGGACAUCCACCCACUCGGGCUGUGAGCAGAGGCUCCAGGCUUUUCUCAAAAACAUCUGAUUUUAUAGAAAGUUCUAGCAUCUGAUUUUUACAGUAUUUGCUAGUGCAGUCUAAAAGAAAGCAAUGCAGAUUUCCCUUUCCUGCCCCACAUUCAGGCAGACUUUUUAGGAAAUGCAGAAAACAGUAAAGGAACCCAUGAAUACAAAAUUGAACGUGGCAAUCAGAGGAGCCAGCUCUCCUAAUGAGGCUUUAUUUAACCAAUGACAAUGUGCCGAGAAAACCAGAGGAAAUGGGUCAGCUAAAAAAUCUGGUGCUACAAAUGCCUGGUGUAAUUUCCCCUCACUAAAAUGGAUGUCCUUCUGAAAGGGCUGGAUAAGGAAUCAUCCCCUGAAGUCCUGCAGCUAAUUUGCAAGACAUGGAUGAAAGGACUGGAGCGUUGGGACUGGAGACUGGUAAUGUGACACAUCCAGAGUAAGAUGGAGUCACACAACACAGCUUAAUGAGGAAACACUUGGCCUGGCUCAGCAAUUAGUGGGGUCGUUUCAGCACUCAGAAACCAGUUAACCCGUCCUUGAUGGCACAAUUUCACAACUCCCUUAAACCAGGAAUUAGCCAGGGCCCCUGUCAGGAGAAGUGAUGCUUUCCAGUCCCAGCUGGGAGUUUUUGCCUAAUGCCAUCUCCUUUCCCAAGCACAUGUUGUGCCCUGAACUGGAGCAGGGCACUGGACAGGUUCAAAAGGAAACGUCUGUAUGAGUUAGUUUUGACUUUUUCCACUUCUCCAAAACACUUUGGUGCAAAGGUUUGUGCCAGCUCAGGUAGAAGGAGGGUGUGGGUGAAGGAAGAGGUGCUGAUGGUACCGUUUCAAUAGUGGUAGUGCCUGUCUGUGUAGUCUAAAAGGAUCUGUGAAUUUGUGACCUCUUGGUUGGACAGGGCUCUGAGCAACCUGAUCUUGUUGAAGCGGUCCCUGCUCAUUGCAGGGGCUUGGACUAGAUGACCUUUAAAUGUCCUUUCCAAUCCAAACCAUUCUAUGAUUUGUCAUUAAGGACGGUGAUGUACAGACACUGCUGUUCACCUCCCAAGACCCGAUCCUGGCAUCCUCAUGCAGAGGUGUAUUAAAUCUCCCUCAGAGAAAAACCUGUGGAUCAGGUUACUUCAGGCCCUAUUAAUGCCUCAAAAUUUGUAGUGGCUCUUGUACCUGGUCUCAGGCAGAGCUGAGUUAAAAACUUACACCCCUGAUUCUCUUGCUCCCAAUGCAUAAAACUGUGUUGUCAACACACAAGUUCUUAAGCAACGUGAGGAUUGCAUUAGAGGGAGAUUUUGCUCUGAGUUCAGAUGCUGCCUUCCAAGUAUGGGGAGCAUCUGCAUCAUCAAAAAGUAAAGCCAAGGAUGAGAUAGCCCAGGAAUUAUUUAAUAUUUGAGCCAAUAAAAACUGCAUCAGACCAUCCCAAAGAAAUAUUUGUGCAGUUAAAAGGGAGAGAACAACCAAUGGUCUGGUAAGAGGAAGAUGUAAACCUUCCUGAUUAAAGAUAAAGGAAAUCUCCUGGAGAAAAGAAAAAGCUGAAUAAAUCUUCAAAGAGGGAUCUCAACUGUGCAGGGAAAGCCAAAUUCCCAACACUUAACACUUCCUGUAGUGCAGAGAGGAUGGAAGCCUGACAAUCACAUAAGAGAUCUUCAGCUAGAAAGACCAGGGAAGAAAACCGCUAAAAGUGAUCCCAGACACAAAAUUCUCACAUCAAAUACAUCCAAAUUCUCACAUCAACUACAGCUCUGGACCCCUCAAGACAAGAAGGAUGUUGAGUGCUAGAACAUGUUCAGAGAAGACAGCAGAGCUGGGGAAGGGUCUGGAGCACAGAUCUGGUGAGGAGCAGCUGAGAGAGCUGGGGGUGUUUAGCCUGGAGGAAAGGAGUUCCAGGGGUGACCUGGCUCUCUACAGCUCCUUGACAGGAGGCUGUAGCCGGGUGGGGUUUGUCUCUUCUCCCAGGUAACAAGCAAUAAGACAAGAGGAAAUCUCCUCAAGUUACACCAGGGGAGGUGUGUAUUGGAUAUUAGGAAAAAUUCCUUCACUGAAAGGGUUGUCAAGCACUAGAAGAGACUGCCCAGGUUAGUGGUAGUCAGCAUUCCUAGAGGCAUCUAAAGGACUUGGAGACAUGGAUUAGUGGUGGACUUGGCAGUGUUGGGUUAGUGGUUGGACUGGAUGAUUCUAAAGGCAUUUUCCAACCUCACUGACAGAUAUGGUUUUGUAGUUUCAAGUGGGAAGGAUCUUUGGAUCCAUAGGUCCUAAAGAAGGCAGUGAGACUGCAGGGGCAGAGUUGAGGACCUGGGUGGUCCUGUCCUGACCAGCCAUGUCCUGGGGCUCUGGGAGAGGCACCAGCUGAGACACUCGGGCUUUCCUAAAAGGUGCUACCAGAACAAGGAGCUGAGCAACUGGAGAGCUGUGAAAAGACAGAUUAACAAACAACUGUGGCAUUCACAUUCUCUGAAAAAAAUCCCUUCGCCCACAAUUUUUCUCCUGGGAAGCUGAGAAGCUUUAGAGAAAAGGAAAACAAUCUUAUCUCAUUCGCUUCUCCUGUGUUGUGCUCCUGUGGAAUGUGUUUGGAGCUUGUUUACUCACAGGUGAUUGUUUCACUGGAUUCUGGUGUGAGUUGUUUUCACUCUUUGGCCAAUCAGGGCCAAGCUGUGUCGGGACUCUGGAAAGAGUCACCAGUUUUCAUUAUCAUCUUUUUAGCCUUCUUCAAGUGUCCUUUCUGUAUUCUUUAGUAUAGUAUGGUAUUCUUUAAUAUAAUAUAGUAUCAUAAAGUAAUAAAUUAGCCUUCUGAGAACAUGGAGUCAGAUGCAUCAUUCCUGCCUUCGUCGGGGCAAUUCUCAGCAAAUACAAUAAACAACCUCUUUUACAGGUGAACCUGGCCCAAGUCACUCCACACUGAGGGUGGCCAGGCUCAAGGAUCUUCUUUUCAAUUAAUUCUCUCAGUGUUCCAUGGACCCAAGCUCACAGCAGCAGCAACAGAUGCUUAGAUACCGUGGUGAUGGGUGCUGUACAAAACCUUGCAUAGCUAUGGAAACCACAGUUGCAUUUAUCCAUCAGAAAUGAGUAUCUGGCAGCCCAUGUCUAUCCUUCAUGUUCUGGAAGAUCAUGAAAAAAAUACUUGUACAUGGCAUUAUAUUUCACAGCUUUCUUUUCUACUUGGCAACGCACACUUAUCUCUAUUUGAUAAUAAUAAUGGUACAUGUAUUUUUAGACUAACAUUAUGUGAUAUUAAUUCCAAACGUAAUCCAAUGUAAUGCAAGCUGAGAAAAAAAGCCUUUAGAGAGAGGAAUUGAGAAAAUGAAAUAAGAUUUAACCUGGUAACAAAUAGACAAUUUAUUUCAGAGUUUAAAUAAACACUUUUUAAAUUCAAAAAACAAAGAAAACAGCAGAUAGUACAUUUUUGGAUCAUUCAGUCUUCAGUUUUCAUGUUCAAAAAGUCUUCCUAAUUGUCUGAUUUUGCUAAGCAGAGUGUAAGAACAGAACAUGUACUGUAUCUGUCACGUCUUUAUAACCCAGAGGAAUGAGAACAAGACUAAGAGGAGGCAUUUCAGAGCCUCCCUCAUGGGUCUGACAAUGCCUGUAUCAUCAGGGACAAGUGUCAUUCCUUCUCUCUUCUCCUUUCUCAUUUCCAAAAUUAAGGCAAUAAUACAAAGCUGUAGAUAUCUGCAUUAGAAGGGGAAAAAAAUUCAAAUGGAGGUGAUAGAGCUGCUUUUCACCAGCAGUAAUUGGCUGCAUUCAAAGCUGUGGGUAAAAGUGAAAUAACUGUGACAGCACCGUGGUACCUUGUGCUUUUACCUGCCCUAUUUUUCCCCAGCAGGGAGCUCGUCCUGCAUUCCCAGGCAGCCACCAUGGCUGAGCUGGCAGCUGCAUGUUGCUGACUUGGUCAUUCAUGCUCUGUGGAUGUGCUCCAAAACCACUCACAUCCACAGGCCAGGAAAGAGCUUGACAGACCCUGAGUAAAAUCCUGGCCCUGAGUGAAAUCUGUGGCAAAAUUUCUGAAGGUGAAGGGAUGCUCCUUACUGCCUUGGUUACCAUGGGGUCACCAGGAAACACCUCCUCUCCUCUUGUGCCUGCACUAUGAGCUCUCCAGCUGUCCUGGGAAACAAAGACAUGGAAAAUGGAAACUUUGGACACUGCAGAGAGGUGCUGGCUCUUUGCAUGGGUGCUCCAGAAACACAGGGAGAAGGAAUUCUGUGUGUAAUGCCUUUGUUAGCUAAUUAUCUGGAAAUGAUCUGGAAAUGAACUGUGAUUCUAAGUUCAUUAAAAUACUUAUCUGGGAAAAAAAAAA